UUCACGUUAAGCUGAAAUUCACGUUGUAAAAAAAAACACAAAAAAAGCUACACUAAAAUAUAAAACAGAAAACGUUGGUCUGUUUUCUUUUCUUCCGUAUUCUCCCUGCAACACACAUAUUCCAUUUUCUCACAAAAACAUUAUCUUUUUCAAUUUUCCUGGAAAAGUUCCACACCUCAUUUCCCCCACAUAAAUAAUCCCUUGCCUUCAAAUUUCCUUCUUUAUUUUUGGUUUUGCAUCAAGGUCUUAUCUUUUUAGCUGAAACUGAGCGUGCCUAUUAUUCUGUUCCUCUCUCAACUGGGAUUUCUUAAUACUUCGUUAAGGGCUGACAGCUUCUAGUUUUGAGGUGGUAAAGAUAAUAUAUCUUUUUUUCUAUUCCCAUUUUGGUAUCUGGGUUUUAAUUCUUUUUAGGUGUCUAAGAGCUUUUGUUUUGGAGUGCUUGUCAUAUCUGCUGUAUUUGAACUGGUUUUUGAAUCUUUAUUCAUAUUAAAAGUUGUAAAAAGUUUUAAGGUCUUUUUGGUGGUGGGAGCUUGCUUGUGGUUUUAGCUACUGGGGUUGAGCUUUUUUAAACUUGUGUAAGAAGUUAGUUCAGAACCAGGGUAGGGAUUUGUUUUCUUAGUCAGGGUUUCUGGAUUGAGUCACGUAAUAUAGUUGGGGUUGGAUUUGCAAUGGGGAAGCAUAGUGGAAAGCACAAGAAGCAAACAGGGGAUAGUAAUGUGAAGCAAAAGAAAGUUGGAGACAAGAGUUCGAAAUCAUAUGAUUCAGACACGGCAGUUUUCAUUGCCAUGUCUCAAGAACUGAAAGAAGAGGGGAACAAACUGUUUCAGAAAAGGGAUCAUGAAGGAGCAAUGUUGACAUAUGAGAAGGCUCUCAAAUUGCUCCCAAAGAAUCACAUAGAUGUAUGCCAUCUUAGGACUAAUAUUGCUGCAUGUUAUAUGCAGAUGGGAUUGAGUGAGUACCCCAAGGCUAUCCAUGAGUGUGAUUUGGCAUUAGAGGUUACUCCCAAGUAUAGCAAGGCACUUGUAAAGAGAGCCAGGUGUUACGAAUCUUUGAAUAGGCUGGAAUUAGCUUUCAGAGAUGUUAAUACAGUUCUUAACAUGGAGCCUAAUAAUGUCAUGGCAUUAGAGAUUUCAGAAAGGGUAAGAAGCUCACUUGAGAAAGAAGGUUUACCUGUUGAAUUGCCUCUAGAAUCCGUUGAACCUCCAAGUACUUCGAAAACUCCGAAAGUUGUUAAAGAGAAAACCAAGAAGAAGAUCAGCAAAGCUAAAGAAUCUGUUGAACCUCCAAGGGGUUCAUUAAUUUCGGAAGUUGUCCAAGAGAAAACAGAGAAGAAGAACAAGAAAAAGAUCAGUAAAGCUGAAGAAUCUGUUGAACCUCCAAGGAAUUCACAAAUUCCAGAAGUUGUCGAAGAGAAAACCGAGAAGAAGAACAAGAAGAAGAUCAGUAAAGCUAAAGAUAACAAGGCUGCGGAUCGAAUUGAGGAGAAGGAGGUUGAUGGAAAUGUAGAGGAAAAGAAGGCUGAGGAUAAACUGGUUAUAGAGGAGAAAAUUAGCAGUAAAGCGGAAGAACCAAAGAAGACUGUCAAGUUGAUUUUGGGUGAAGAUAUAAGAUGCGCUCAGUUACCACUUAAUUGCAGCCUUCUUCAACUAAGGGAAGUAAUUCAUGAUCGAUUUCCUAGUUUGAGAGCAGUUCUUGUCAAAUACAGAGAUGGAGAAGGUGAUUUAGUCACAAUCACCAGUGAUGAAGAGUUGAAAUUGGCUGAAAUAUCAGCAGAAUCCCAGGGUUCUGUGAGGCUGUAUGUUGUAGAAGUCAAUCCUGAGCAGGAUCCACUCUUCGAGAGAUUUAAGCAUGAGGAAGUUCACAUUCUUGACAUCAAACAAGGUAAGGCAACUGAAAAUGGCCAUGCCAGAAAAGUUGUGGAAACCAGAAAAGAAUCGUGUUGCAUUGAUGACUGGAUAAUUGAGUUUGCUCAACUAUUCAAGAACUAUGUUGGGUUUGAUUUAGACGCAUACUUGAAUCUCCAUGAGCUUGGUAUGAAGCAAUAUUCUGAGGCCAUGGAGGACAUAGUUACAAGUGAAGAGGCACAGGAUCUUUUCGACAUGGCUGCUGAGAAAUUCCAAGAGAUGACAGCAUUAGCAUUGUUCAACUGGGGAAAUGUUCACAUGUCCAGGGCAAGGAAGAGGGUAUACUUCACUGAAGAUGGUUCGAGAGAAUCUGUACUUAAGCAGAUCAAAAAAACCUAUGAUUAUGCACAAUUAGAAUAUAGCAAAGCUGGUAAGAGAUAUGAGGAAGCACUGAGAAUCAAGCCAGAUUUCUAUGAAGCUCAUCUAGCUCUAGCACAACAACAGUUUGAGCAGGGAAAACUUUCUUGGUAUUAUGCAAUUGGCAACAAUGUUGAUCUGGAAACAUGGCCUUCUGAGGUGGUCCUGCAGCUUUAUAACAAUGCUGAGGAAAAUAUGGAGAGGGGUAUGCAGAUGUGGGAAGAGUUAGAACAGCAGCGCCUGUGUGAGCUUUCUGAUUUGAAGGAUGAACAAAAGCAGUUGAAGAAAAUGGGAUUGGAUGGUUUACUGAAAGAUAUAACAGCAGAUGAAGCAGCAGAGCAGGCAAUCAACAUGAGUGCUCAGAUAAACAUUUUAUGGGGCACCAUACUUUACGAACGUUCGAACAUGGAAUUUAAACUAGGGCUACCUGUCUGGCAUGAAUGUUUGGAGGUUGCUGUUGAGAAGUUUGAGCAUGCUGGAGCUUCUCCCACUGAUGUAGCUGUUAUGGUAAAGAACCACUGUUCAAAUAACAUUGCUUUGGAAGGUUUAGGGUUUAAGAUUGACGAGAUAAUACAGGCAUGGAAUGAGAUGUAUGAAGCUAAAAAGUGGCAGAGCAAGAUUCCAUCAUGGCGACUAGAACCAUUACUUAGACGGCAAGUUUCCAAAAUUUAUCAUGCACUGGAGCAGGCAUAAGUUCCAUACUGUUUUGAUUGGGAUUUACAGGAGAAAGUUGGGUCAAAAGACCAUUGUUAAGUGCUUCAUAUUAUAUGAAGUGAUAUGAAGUACUGCAUUAAAGUUAGGUUUUAUUGCCAUUAUCUUUUACAUCAAGUAUCAGUCUUGAACUUUCAGAUUCAAUGGAGAGACUACUGGAUUGCUGAAAGUUGUGUGAUGUGAUUUUGAAGAAAUAGGUUCAGUUUACAUCAAUACAUGUGUUGGGGAGGAGUUGAAGCAUGAGAGCAGGGAUCCGAUGUUUUUUUUAUGCUUUCUGCUUUGGUCUUCAUCAGCUUCUCCCCUCAAAACAAGUAGGAAAAAACAUGCUGAAUUCAUUAGUUGCAAUAGUUACCUGAUUGACUUGUUAUUACUAGCUGCAUGUAUCUUAUACUGGUUUCAAGCAUAGGCUGUGUUCAUCAAGGAAGACGAGCUUUGUGUUCGGUUGAUGAUGAUCCUAGAUUUGGUGCUUGUAUUACUAUAAGGGAUUUAAGGAUUGUGAAUUUUUAUUUAUUUAUUUUUGGAAUAGCAAGUAUUGUGAACUUAUUUUCAGCUUUUGCUUCUACUCUUUGAUACUCAAACAUGUAUUUCUAAUUGGACCUGGGUGAACUCUUUUGUUACUUGAAAUCUGGUUUUUGUUUCACUACUAUGCUCUUAUAGUUAUGACACUAGUGGAUCGAAAAUCAUAAUUUACUCAAAUUUACCCCAAACUAAAUUUACAAAGUUCCACCUUUAAACAACUUGAACAAGUAAGACUCCUGAACAGCUCUAUUACCCGAAUAGAUGGAAUCUCAUACUUACCCCUCCCCUCAUUAUUUGCCUUCCGUUUCAAAUCUUCAGAAAGAAACUCGACAGGCAACGUGUACUAUUAAACAAGAAAUUUCUAUUAACAAAUCUUUUAAUUUUGUUUUUUCAAAACAAGAAAAGAGGAAAUGCCAAAUUCAGCAACCACACAUUUACAAUCACUUCAGUCCAUAGAAUUAGCACAAUUGUCCCUUCAUCCCAUUAGAAAGCAGCUUUUCACGUUUCAAUAUACACUUAUUUAGCUGUUGAGAUAGCUAUCCCCAGCUGAUAGCAGCUAUUUACGAUUACAGCAUAUGUUGCAGUUGUCCCCAAGCAUUUAUUCUGGUCGAAAGCUAACCAGAUUG